rnacentral:rRNA from 1 species
GAGUUUGAUCCUGGCUCAGAUUGAACGCUGGCGGCAGGCCUAACACAUGCAAGUCGAGCGGAUGACGGGAGCUUGCUCCUUGAUUCAGCGGCGGACGGGUGAGUAAUGCCUAGGAAUCUGCCUGGUAGUGGGGGACAACGUUUCGAAAGGAACGCUAAUACCGCAUACGUCCUACGGGAGAAAGCAGGGGACCUUCGGGCCUUGCGCUAUCAGAUGAGCCUAGGUCGGAUUAGCUAGUUGGUGGAGUAAUGGCUCACCAAGGCGACGAUCCGUAACUGGUCUGAGAGGAUGAUCAGUCACACUGGAACUGAGACACGGUCCAGACUCCUACGGGAGGCAGCAGUGGGGAAUAUUGGACAAUGGGCGAAAGCCUGAUCCAGCCAUGCCGCGUGUGUGAAGAAGGUCUUCGGAUUGUAAAGCACUUUAAGUUGGGAGAAGGGCAGUAAGUUAAUACCUUGCUGUUUUGACGUUACCGACAGAAUAAGCACCGGCUAACUCUGUGCAGCCGCCG